CCUACGGGAGGCAGCAGUGAGGAAUAUUGGUCAAUGGAGGCAACUUUGAACCAGCCAUGCCGCGUGAAGGAUGACGGCCCUAUGGGUUGUAAACUUCUUUUAUAGAGGAAGAAACUUGUCUACGUGUAGAUAACUGACGGUACUCUACGAAUAAGGAUCGGCUAACUCCGUGCCAGCAGCCGCGGUAAUACGGAGGAUCCAAGCGUUAUCCGGAUUCAUUGGGUUUAAAGGGUCCGUAGGCGGGUCUUUAAGUCAGUGGUGAAAGCCGACAGCUCAACUGUCGAACUGCCAUUGAUACUGGAGACCUUGAGUACAAAUGAAGUAGGCGGAAUGAGUCAUGUAGCGGUGAAAUGCAUAGAUAUGACUCAGAACACCGAUUGCGAAGGCAGCUUACUAACAUGUAACUGACGCUGAGGGACGAAAGCGUGGGGAGCGAACAGGAUUAGAUACCCUGGUAGUCCACGCCGUAAACGAUCAUCACUCGCUGUUGGCGAUAUACUGUCAGCGGCCAAGCGAAAGUAUUAAGUGAUGCACCUGGGGAGUACGCCGGCAACGGUGAAACUCAAAGGAAUUGACGGA
rnacentral:rRNA from 1 species